CUCUACCCGCAAUAUAAUUAUGAAACUGAAGAAGAAGAAUAUGUUGGUAAUUGCUGUUAAAGAAUAGGAGAUGGAGAUAAAGCACGACUCUGAGAUAUUCAAUGAUUUGGUACCUCAAUAUUUUAAAUAAUUAACCGAAACCCCAUUCCAAAUUUUUUUCAACAUUUUUUCCAAAACCUAUUUUUUUUCUUCUUUCUUCCCCGCUCUUUUAUUUUACACACGGUUCCUUCUCCAUUCGGAGGAUCGAAAGUGCAUCAUCGAGAUCAGGGUCUAUCAGUGCGAGAUUUUUAACAGUACCACUUAUAUCAUGGUGAGGGUUGGUAUCUGUUCUGCUUUGGAUUGGUUUUAUUCAUCAAUGUUGUUUGUUACCUGAUAGAUGUUUUCUCUUCUAAUGCGUCCCUUUCUUUGUGUUCAAACCAACAUCAUCAUCUUGGGGAAUCUGAUCAUAACAAUACUAUCGAUUUUACCUACAGAUUGACAAGUAUAUAAAGUUACGGCUUAUGGUGCAAAAUAGGGAGCCUAGAGUGUUAUUAUGGCUUGGAUUCACCAUUCAAGAUGAAGCACCUGCAAAUUAAGAGUAAGUUCUUGAAGAUGCACCAAUAGAAAGUAUGGGAUGUGAGAAAGCUGAUUUCUUCCACCACCAGGGAUCGUGAUUUAUCAGUGUUGCUUGGAAGUGAUUUAUCAUAGUAUUUCUAAGCUCUUUGCCACAAAAACAUGAUAAAGAUUGCAGGGGCUUUGCGGGUUCAAUCUCUCUAGAAUUGCUUCAUCCCCAAGUGUACCCCUUUGAUUGAAGUCGCAUUCGAGGUUGAUGCCCAUGGUACUUCUAAUGUAAGGGACGACUACAACGCAGGUAGAAACUAAGAGAGAUGGGUAGCCAGAUGAGGGGUCAAACCCAUAGAGUUGCCACCACCUUCACCAACAUGUUGAUUUGUAACCACUGCAAGUGGGGUGGUGGAGUUCUGAAAUAGUUAAAAGGUUUCAAAUCGUAUAGGAAAGAGUUCAUUAGCUGAGGGUUAACUCCCAAAAAAACUAAUUGGAGCCCUUUAAGACAUGCAUAAUAUAUGUGUCAUUACUGCAAUUAUCUAUGGCUUGGUUGGCUGUCUUUAUGAUCCAUCUCAUAUCUUCUAAUGUUAUUAGUGUGAGAUCAUGCUUGACCAUUCUUCUUUUUGACUGGAAGUAUGGGGACAUGCGUACAAGAUUUAGGCUUAUGGCGUAAUAUCUCUUUGUUGCACUUCACAUUGAGAAGAUGAAGGUUAGCGCCUAAUGCUACGAA